rnacentral:miRNA from 2 species
CAGAUAGAGAAUCUUCUCAGA